rnacentral:rRNA from 1 species
CCUACGGGGGGCUGCAGUAAGGAAUAUUGGUCAAUGGACGAAAGUCUGAACCAGCCAUGCCGCGUGAAGGAUGAAGGCCCUCUGGGUUGUAAACUUCUUUUAUCUGGGACGAAAAAAGGGAAUUCUUUCUCACUUGACGGUACCAGAGGAAUAAGCACCGGCUAACUCCGUGCCAGCAGCCGCGGUAAUACGGAGGGUGCAGGCGUUAUCCGGAUUCACGGGGUUGAAGGGGUGUGUAGAAGGCAGUGUAGAAAUCUCCGGGCUUAACUCGGAAACUGCCGUUGAUACUAUAUGCCUUGAAUAUCCUGGAGGUGAGCGGAAUAUGUCAUGUAGCGGUGAAAUGCUUAGAUAUGACAUAGAACACCAAUUGCGAAGGCAGCUCACUACGGGAUGAUUGACACUGAGGCACGAAAGCGUGGGGAUCAAACAGGAUUAGAUACCCUUGUAGUC